ACGUUUCUUUAACUUUUUGAAGUUAAAUAGAAACAUGUGAAAGCUCAUUCAGAUGAACAGAGAGCAAAACAAAUCCCUCACAUUAUUUUUCCUCUCUUCUUUUUCUUUAGUAUUUUUUUCUUGAGUCUGAAAGUAUACACAAAACUAGUUUCGUCAGGUUUCUCAUAGAGUGACGCAAAUCAGAAGAUUUUUUGCAGUUGUAUCUUGGGACCCAUUACGUUAUCAAACCAUCGCACUACGGGACGUAUUUUGAGUUAAGGAAAAAAAUAAUAUCUCGGCUCAGCAAUUGAAUCAUUUGUUUCUUAAUCUUUGGUAUACUUUUAUCAAUUUUAUUUUUUACAAUAUUCAGUUCUCAUAGUUUAUAUAAUACGGUCCCAUCAAUAUAUAUAUGUAUCAGUUCUUCUUUUCCGCUGGAGAGAGGCCACUAGAACCACUGCUCUCGGGAUCAUUACUAGCAGCCUGAGAUAACUCCUGAA
rnacentral:lncRNA from 1 species